UGCACGUCGAGCGGGGGAAGGUAGCUUGCUACCGGACCUAGCGGCGGACGGGUGAGUAAUGCUUAGGAAUCUGCCUAUUAGUGGGGGACAACAUCUCGAAAGGGAUGCUAAUACCGCAUACGUCCUACGGGAGAAAGCAGGGGAUCUUCGGACCUUGCGCUAAUAGAUGAGCCUAAGUCGGAUUAGCUAGUUGGUGGGGUAAAGGCCUACCAAGGCGACGAUCUGUAGCGGGUCUGAGAGGAUGAUCCGCCACACUGGGACUGAGACACGGCCCAGACUCCUACGGGAGGCAGCAGUGGGGAAUAUUGGACAAUGGGGGGAACCCUGAUCCAGCCAUGCCGCGUGUGUGAAGAAGGCCUUAUGGUUGUAAAGCACUUUAAGCGAGGAGGAGGCUACUCUAGUUAAUACCUAGGGAUAGUGGACGUUACUCGCAGAAUAAGCACCGGCUAACUCUGUGCCAGCAGCCGCGGUAAUACAGAGGGUGCGAGCGUUAAUCGGAUUUACUGGGCGUAAAGCGUGCGUAGGCGGCUUAUUAAGUCGGAUGUGAAAUCCCCGAGCUUAACUUGGGAAUUGCAUUCGAUACUGGUGAGCUAGAGUAUGGGAGAGGAUGGUAGAAUUCCAGGUGUAGCGGUGAAAUGCGUAGAGAUCUGGAGGAAUACCGAUGGCGAAGGCAGCCAUCUGGCCUAAUACUGACGCUGAGGUACGAAAGCAUGGGGAGCAAACAGGAUUAGAUACCCUGGUAGUCCAUGCCGUAAACGAUGUCUACUAGCCGUUGGGGCCUUUGAGGCUUUAGUGGCGCAGCUAACGCGAUAAGUAGACCGCCUGGGGAGUACGGUCGCAAGACUAAAACUCAAAUGAAUUGACGGGGGCCCGCACAAGCGGUGGAGCAUGUGGUUUAAUUCGAUGCAACGCGAAGAACCUUACCUGGCCUUGACAUACUGGAAACUUUCCAGAGAUGGAUUGGUCCUUUCGGGAAUCUAGAUACAGUUGCUGCAUGGCUGUCGUCAGCUGUGUGUGAGAUGUUGGGUUAAGUCCCGCAACGAGCGCAACCCUUUUCCUUACUUGCCAGCAUUUCGGAUGGGAACUUUAAGGAUACUGCCAGUGACAAACUGGAGGAAGGCGGGGACGACGUCAAGUCAUCAUGGCCCUUACGGCCAGGGCUACACACGUGCUACAAUGGUCGGUACAAAGGGUUGCUACACAGCGAUGUGAUGCUAAUCUCAAAAAGCCGAUCGUAGUCCGGAUUGGAGUCUGCAACUCGACUCCAUGAAGUCGGAAUCGCUAGUAAUCGCGGAUCAGAAUGCCGCGGUGAAUACGUUCCCGGGCCUUGUACACACCGCCCGUCACACCAUGGGAGUUUGUUGCACCAGAAGUAGCUAGCCUAA
rnacentral:rRNA from 1 species